UCUUUCUAUACGAAUUACAUAUGUACGAGUUAAUUAUAUAAGAGAGGAUGGAACUCUUUUGUAUUUUGAGUUAACGCACGUUUUUUCUUCGCGCCAGCAAUGUUUAGAGCAUUCUGUGUAUUCAUCUUUUCUUUUUGGUUCGCCACGGUCCUUUUACCACUUUCACUUUCACUUGCACCUGUGCAACAUUAAAAGGCGGUUAGCUAUC